AGCGGCAGACGGGUGCGUCACAUGUGGGAAUCUACCUUUUGGUUCGGAACAACAUGGGGAAACCCGUGCUAAUACCGGAUAAGUCCUUACGGAGAAAGAUUUAUCGCCGAAAGAUGAGCCCGCACUAGAUUAGCUUGUUGGUAAGGUAAAAGCUUACCAAGGCAACGAUCUAUAGCUGAUUUGAGAGGAUGAUCAGCCACACUGGGACUGAGACACGGCCCAGACUCCUACGGGAGGCAGCAGUGGGGAAUCUUGCACAAUGGAGGAAACUCUGAUGCAGCGAUGCCGCGUGAGUGAAGAAGGCCUUUGGGUUGUAAAGCUCUUUUGUCGGGAAAGAUAAUGACUGUACCCGAAGAAUAGGGUCCGGCUAACUUCGUGCCAGCAGCCGCGGUAAUACGAAGGGACCUAGCGUAAUUCGGAAUUACUGGGCGUAAAGCGCGCGUAGGCGGUUAAGUAAGUUAAUUGUGAAAGCCCAAAGCUCAACUUUGGAAUUGCAAUUAAAACUACUUAGCUAGAGUUUAUCAGAGGAAAGCGGAAUACAUAGUGUAGAGGUGAAAUUCGUAGAUAUUAUGUAGAACACCAGUUGCGAAGGCGGCUUUCUGGGAUAAUACUGACGCUGAGGUGCGAAAGUAUGGGUAGCGAAGAGGAUUAGAUACCCUCGUAGUCCAUACCGUAAACGAUGA
rnacentral:rRNA from 1 species